ACGCGCAGGCUUCGCUGCCAGCUUCCUUCCUGGAGAUGCAUCUGCCCUCGCACUCUGGAGCCCCCGACAUCCUCCACCUACCCGCGCUCUAAGCCCGCUCAACUUCCCCUGGGCCUCAAUCUCUGGAACGCCCACCCCGCCGCCCCCUCCCGGAUCCCUUUCGGAUCCACGCACCGCUGCGGGAGUCAGCAGGCACCGGGAGAAGCUCCCGGUUGGAUGACCAAGGCUGCAGCCUCGAAGGUCCGAAGGUGGUCAGGAGAGGUACCAAGAACGGCGUGACAGAGACAGGACCCGAAGGACGGGCCGCGGACCCUUCGCUUCCCGCCCGAGCCACUGGGGGCGUCGGCCGGGGGGUCGAGCCUAGGCCUGAGGCCGGGAUGGCGGCGGAUCCUGCAAGAGGUGUCCUCUUUUCCACGGGGGAAUACACAUGGAGGGAUCUGGAAUAAGGUCACUCAAGGAGAAGCG